rnacentral:rRNA from 1 species
CCUGCAACGAGCGCAACCCCUGUCACUAGUUGCCAUCAUUAAGUUGGGGACUCUAGUGAGACUGCCUACGCAAGUAGAGAGGAAGGGGGGGAUGACGUCAAAUCAUCACGGCCCUUACGCCUUGGGCCACACACGUAAUACAAUGGCCAGUACAGAGGGCAGCUACACAGCGAUGUGAUGCAAAUCUCGAAAGCUGGUCUCAGUUCGGAUUGGAGUCUGCAACUCGACUCUAUGAAGCUGGAAUCGCUAGUAAUCGCGC